rnacentral:rRNA from 1 species
CGCCGCGGCUAUACCGCUAGGCUCAAGUUGAUAUUAUUCGGCGUUAAGCGUGUUUAAAGUGACCAAAAGAUUAAAAUUAAAUUUAAACCAAGCCGUGACACGCUUGUUUCUAAGAAAAACAAAAACGAAAGUUAUUUUAACCAAACCACUUGAACCCACGACAGCUAGGAAA